AGUGAGCACAGAUGGAUCUAGCUACAACUUAGAGAGGUCACUGAAAUAUGGCACUUGAUUACAGUGUUCUUUGAAGGGCAUACAGCUAUUUUCACUACAUCAGAACACUCGACCAUCAUGAACAUCAUAAAUACUCUCUUGUCUCUGCUGUUUGGCAUUUUGGCUGGGCUGAUCCUAGUUUUUGGCUUGAUUGUAAUGUUUUGCAUCCUGCUUUUCAGCACAAGACUAACUGUUACAUUUGGUGAAACUAAGAUGGUCACCAUAUUUGAAAAAGCAGCAAUGGUGACUGAAUUUGUCAAACCCAGUCCAGUCACCAAACCAGAAGCAUCCCACCUAGUAAUCGAAUUUGACAAAGCUGAGCUACUUGCCAAAUUGGCCAAGGAGAUCGCUCCCAACUACAGCGUGAAUAGAAAAAAGCUGUAGUAUCUCUGAUACUCCUGCAAAGGAACAUGCAGAUCUCUAUGAAAAACAAGACUUGGACUGGCAUCUCAGUGAAAGUGGAUCCCAAUGACAACACUUGGAAUGCCAAGGCCAAUAUCCAAGUCAAAUCUGAUGCCCAAGAAGAUGUCAAUUUAGAAGAGGAAAUCUUAAUUUUCAACUGUAAACAGCUGAAUGACAGCUGCACUGUAACAACUUACAAUAUCCAAAAUGAACCCACAAUCCAGAGUCUAGAGCUGAGUGAUGUUGUGCGGGCCAUCUUGCAGGUGUUUUAUGGCGCUCUUCAGAUGCCAUCAGCUGUAGGAUCCACUGACACCAAUGAGAUUAGCAAAAGUAAGGCGGCAGAAAUCUACCAGAGCAGUGAAGAGUGAGCCUAGCCUCUUCACAUCUGGAAGACUGACACAAUGUACAAGAUUACAACAUUCCAGAACCCACUCUCCUCGGAUUGUUGCAUUUCAGAAACAAGACAGACAUAACUUGCUCAUCUGUUACUGAUCUGUGGGGGAAAAAAAUUAAAGCAUGCUGCACUCCUAA